CCAAACGUUGAAGCCAUAUUUAUUGAAUGGCAUAAGAGUGUAGAGCGACCACUAAAACGCGCAGACUUCAACUGAUGCCAAACCUAAUAAUGCUAAGUGUGGAUAAUCCUCAAAUGUUUGAUUGCAAAUCCACCGCUUCUCUAGACUUUCCUGAUUCUCUUCGUUACCUUUGCUGGUGGGGAUAUCCACUGGAAUCUUUGCCGUCAAAUUUUUCGCCAGAAAAUCUAGUUGAGCUUCAUAUGCCAGAUAGCAAAAUUAAGAAGCUUUGGAAAGAAGACCAGGUAUAUUAUAUGCCUAUUUUAAUUAUUGUAUAAAAUUAAGUGUAGAAAUUAUAUCAAUUCUUGAUGUUUCUCUCUACUCUUGUUACAGAGACUUGUAAACUUAGAAGUGAUCGAUCUGCACCGCUCUACAAAUCUAACUGAAGUUCCAAAUCUCUCUGGGAGUUUAAAAAUUGUGGACAUAAAUCUCGAUGGCUGUCCAAAUUUGGUUGAAAUUCCUAGGUAUUUUCAAGAUGUUGACAAGCUUACUCAUCUUUGUCUUUUAGGCUGCACCAGUCUCAAGUAUCUUCCAGAGAUGCCAAGAAAUAUUAAACACUUAGAUUUAUCUGAGAGUGGUAUAAAGGAGUUGCCCCGAUCAGUUUGGUCUCACGAAAAAAUUUCUUACUUGAAUAUAAGUUGUUGCGAUAACCUUGAGAAACUUCCAAGCAACAUGUGUAAGCUGAAAGUCUCUGGUUCUUUUAAUCUAGAUGGCUGCUCAUCUCUUGGCGAGUUUUCUGAGCUUCCCAGGGAUAUAAGUAAAUUAUCAUUGGUUAAUUGUCAUAGACUUGUGAUUCUUCCAACAAACAUUUGUAAGUUGAAAUAUCUCGAGGAACUCGAUCUCUCCAACUGUGUUAAACUUGAAAACUUCCCAGAGAUCUUGGAGCCAAUGGAACAUUUGAAGUCCUUAAAUUUAAGUGGUACAUCAGUUCAAGAUUUGCACUCAUCAAUCGAGUUUCUACCUGCUCUCGAAAGACUUGAACUACGUGAUUGCAAAAGGCUUUUAAGUAUCCCAAAGAGCAUUUGUAAGUUGAAAUAUCUCAAGGAACUCGAUCUCUCCAACUGUGUUAAACUUGAAAGCUUCCCAGAAAUCUUGGAGCCAAUGGAAAAUUUGAAUUCCUUAAAAUUAAGUGGAACAGCAGUUCAAGAGCUACACUCAUCAAUCGAGUUUCUCCCUGCUCUCCAAGUACUUGAACUACAUGAUUGCAAAAGGCUUUCAAGUAUCCCAAAGAGCAUUUGUAAGUUGAAGUAUCUAUUGGAGCUCGAUAUCGAUGGGUGCUCCGAACUUAAACAUUCCCCAGAGAUCUUUAAGCUAAUGAAACAUUUGGAGCCAACGAGACAUAUUUUUGAACGCUUACAGGCUGCCCUCAUUGUUCAGAAAGCAGCCUUACAAUUUAUUCAGUCCAAAAAGACUACAAGAAAAAGCCCUUAUUGCGACAGGUUUUUUGCGUCAGAUAGCACGGCCCUCACAAAUAACACAAAAUAUGCGCGCUAGAUGGAAUUGCCCAGCGCGCGUUUCCUUUCGCCCUAAUCCAUCCAAUUAGAGAUUCAAUCGGAGAUUCUAGAGCUUAGUCGGAGAUUCUGGAGCACAAUCGGAGUUCUUGUAAGCCACUACAAUCAUCUCCAUCGUCUCUCUUUUUCUUAUUCAAUAACUUUUGCUAAGUGAUUUCUAGGGUUCCUCUCAAAUCUGGAAGGCAAUUGUUUUUAUUAAUAUUGGAUUGAUUUUUCUAAUUGUUGUUAAUGUGUUUACCAAUUUUUGUUAUUUCCAAUUUUUGUUGUCGUUUGCUUUCAAGUGAGUUUUGAGAUACACAAGGAAUUAUUUUUCGUUUCAGUAUGGGUGGUAACGGAAUUUGAUCUGGAACUCAGUAGAUUCUGCUAAAAUAUAUUUUUUAGUUAAAUUCAGAGUUGUGUUUUUUUUUUUUCAAUUGGGUUUUAAGUUUUAGUAGAAACACAGAACCACUUCUGGUAUAGCUAAUGGGAUUGUUUAGUUUUGGAUUAGUUUGGAAAAUUGUUUAGCUUUGGGUAGCUAAUGGGACUUUGUUGUGUUGCAUUAGUUUGAAAACUUGUAAAACUACAGGGAGUAUGAGUUUGGUAAAUUUAAUGAGUCUUUGACUCUUUGUAGGGUACAAUUUCCCACAAUUUUUCAUUUGGAAUAAAUCUGCAUUGUUCGUGAUUUUAGGAGUUUUAGCAAUGUUUGUUGCCAGGACAUUACGAAGUUUUGUUUCUGAUAGAUUCAUGUCCACAAUUUUUAGUUAUAUCUGUUUCUAGUUACCACAAUGUUUGUUGCCGACAUUCACCUUUCCCAGACCCUGCGUAAAGCGGUAGCCUUGUGUACUGGGUACGACCUUUUUUAUUUGUUUCUAGUUAUAUCUGUUUUCUUCUUAUUGAUACAAAACUAUGAUUUUUGCAAAAAAAAAAUCAUACAUUAUUGAUGGUUCAAAAAAUGUCGCUUGUUUCAGGUUUUGGCUAAAGACUACAUGAUGCCAUGGAUGUAUAAUGUAUAGGACCUUUCAACUAAGCGUUGCUGUUAUAGUUUUGUUGGUAUUUGUAUAUGAUAAUACACUGUAUAAUGAUUUUCAUUAAUUAUAGUUUAUUAUUAAUAACAAUUCUUCAUAUCUAGCUUAUAGAUAUCUACAUAAUUUAUAGAUUAUUCAUUUUUAAUAAUUAUUUAUUUCUAGUUUAUAAAAUUAAAUAGAUAAUUUGUAUCUGGCGUCAAAUAUGAUGUCAUAUUUUUUUUCACACCUGCCAUCUAUUAUUAAAGAUUCUUCAGAUAGUGUGACAAGGUUGUCACGAAUAGUUCUUGCGACAGUUAGGUUGCGUCGUAUAUGGUAUCAAAACAUUUGCAACACAGGUUUAUUGCGACGCGUCCAUUACCGUCGUAAGGCUGUCGCUGAAAACUUUUUACGACGUUUUUAGCAUUUUUGGCAACAUUCCCGUUCCAUCGCAGAAGGCCCUUUUUUUGGUGGUGAAUUCCUAAAAUCUUAAGCCAAUGGAACAUUUGGUGUCUCUUAGUUUGCAAGGGAUAACUGUCGAAAUUCUUCCUUCGUCUAUUGAAAAUCUAAUGAGGCUUAAAACUUUAAACCUUUGCGGCUGCAAGCAGCUUAAGAAUGUCCUAACAAGUAUCUACAGUUUAACCAACCUUAAAAGUCUCAACUCUCAACUUUUAUGCUUGUCGGAAACUUGAAAAUUUGUCUUCUAGCUCUGCCGGUUCUCUCUCUUUUGGACUACUAAGGGCUGAUUUAGUAUUGCUGUGCUUUGAAAAAAAACUGUUGUGAGAAUAAGCGGCUGUGAAAUAAACCAGCAGAGUGUUUUUGUAAAAAUGCUUUUGGAAAAAAAGCAGUCUGAUAGUGGGUCUUUUCAUUAAAGGAGCAUUGUAGCUCCGUGUGCUUUGAAAAAAAAUCAGUUUUCCAAAACUGCAAAUAACAGCUUCAGCUUUUUCCUUUGAUUUCAGCUUAUUCUCACAGCAAUUUUUAAAAUAAGCCUUUUUUUUCAGUUUACCAAACACCUAAAACCCUCACAGCUUUUUUUCAUGGGUGCUGUUUUUUUAAGCACAUCUCACUCCCAAACCACACCUAAAUCUCACCAGCUACAGAGGUAUAUUGGAAUAUCCCUGAUCGUCUCAUUUUCUCAACCUCAUUGUAAAAUUUAUUUUUCUGGAACCAAGAUGACAAUUCCAAAGGUGGUGGAUGAAGAGACGAGUCUGAAGUCAAUGGAUCAAGUGAUGAAGUCCAAAGCAAAUGAAAGUGAUGAUCAUGGACUGCAGCCGGUGGAACGGAAGAUGUUUCAAACUUUUAAUCCAACAAUCUGUAUAGAAUUAUCCGAUAGAAUUAGAAACAACUUUACAACAAAUUUGUACUUUGAUAGCUCACUUGUCCGUCCAAGAAAUAAAGACUGACAAAUAGGCAAGGCUUUUAUUAUUUUAGAAUUGUUUAUACAUUAUAAAGCACAAGUUAUGGGCAAGUAUGCCAUAUCCUAUAUGUAAUUUUUAAAACUUGAUUUACAAGUCCAGCGGCAUCUUGAAAUCCGCCUCUAUAUCAUAAACCUAGACAUUAAUUAAUACCCCAUACCCAGGGCAAAGUAAAAAUCUCACGACCAAGCGCCAUAGUUUGAAUAUUCGACACUACAAAAAUACACGAUAGUUCAAUGGCUGAACUGCAAUGAGCGAAAAAUAUGAAUGGCCCAAUUGGACUAACACCGGCUAAACUCAAUGUUCUUGUUUGAACCAUACUAAGAUUAGCAAAACAAAUUUUAUUAGAGCAGGUUAAAAAUUACAGCAAAUUAAGGCCGAAAAACGAAAGGCACAGCCCCAGUUUAGUAACAAUCAUCAAAUUUGUAACAACGACAAAACAAUAGGGGUCUUCGCUUCAAUAGGACUAGGAACAUUCCAAAGUUCAGGGGAAAAAUUAUACGUCGCGUAACAAGCUAAAAGAAAAAAAAGAAUGGAGAAAAAACGAGAUGCAUGUACAAAGAAAUGAAAUACAAAAUUUCCAAGUACCUGUUUAUUAGCUUCGGUUGCUUGUUUUAACUUUGAGUUCAGUGAGUUAACCUCCUCUGUACUCAGUUGAUUUACAAGAUGUUUCUCCAAUUCUGGUACUCUGGGUUUCUGCUGAUUGGCCUGCUGCUUUUCUUCAGCAUGAGAAGGAGCAAUUGGCAUCGGUUGCUGUUGAAAGCCUUAGGAAGUGAAAAAUAAGAAACUAUUCUCCAUCAAAGAAAGACAAGGUUUCAAAAAAUAAAAAAGUGAUUUGUUUUAAGGAUGAAUAACAGAUGCAGGUCUCCGGGCGAGAUUGCCAGCAUUAGAGUAAUUAGUUGCAAGUUGAAAAAUAUUGGAUACAUCAAACAUAACAUUGCUUGGUAGCACUGCUGGAAGAGGGCGUCCCUCCCUAAACAACUCUGAGUAGCUGUUGGAGCAGAAUUAAACCGAGAUUGUAUUUGUGGUCCCCUGAACCCAAGUUUUGGCAGGACGUCGGAGUGACAGUGCCACCCUGAGUGGCACCUGCUGCUCCAGCAGAAUUAUGCUGAGGUGGUAAUUGCGGUCCCCUGAACCCAAGAUUUCGUGAGGAUGUCAGAGUGACAACACCACCUUGAAUGUCAGGUGCUGCUGCAGCAGAAUUGAACUGAGGCACAGGAGUCGCAGCAAGAUUUAUCUUGGGUGCAUGUAUUUUAGCUGCAGCCGGGCCAUAUAAUGCUUCCUUCACCAUUUCUGGUGUAAGUUCUCUCUUACUUUGUGCCACAGUGACAAUUCUAAGGGCAUUGUAAAACUCUGCCCGACCAACGAAACCAGUCUGCUCCUGGUCUGCACAUGCCCAUAUCUGCCAAUAAUAUAAGCAACCAAUAUAAACUAGAACAGAUCCAAACUUCUGUUACAAAAAGAACGAGAAAGUGCACUCUUAUAGUCAGUAUUUAACAUUUUAUGAAAAACUUCCUUCAGCAAAACAAACAUACAACUUCAAGAACCUAUUUGCAGAUAUGAUCAUGACCCAAGAACAUUUCCCUUGUAUGUUACAAUCCUAACUAUUCCGUAUUCAUAUAACACAUUUCUGAAGUCUGCUUACCACCUAAGGUCGAAAGAAUACACCAGAAAGUAAAUUAAUGACCUGAUAACAUAACUCUCUCAACAUCAAUUCCGCAUUUAUACUAAAGGUCGUACCCAGUGCACAAGGUUCCCGCUUUAGGCAGGGUCUGGAGAGGUGAAUGUCGGCUAGCCUUACCCCCAUUUUAUGGAGAGGCUGCUCCCAAUUCCGCAUUUAUACUAACACGAAAUAAACAUCUCAUUUUAGAUCGAAGAAUUACGACAUCCCGAGCUCCACAUUAACCACUUCAACUACAAUUAGAUUAAAAAUUCAAAAUCAAUCUGAUUUGGACUACAUUUCCACCAACAUAAAAUCCCGAUCAACCACUAUAAUUACACAAAUAUAAUCAUACACACUACAAUAUAUAUAUCCACUUUUAUAUUUAUAUAUAUAUAUGCAUAUAUGGAGAGAGUGAAAGUACCUGGGCAAGGACCUAUUUGGAGAGACCGGAGCCCUGGAAGAAAGCGACGGCUUCAUUGCCACUAAUCCGAUCAUCGCGGUCCAAACCGGCUCGUCGGAAAUACGCAUCGAAGAGAUCCACGUUCGCCGAUUGGUAUUGCCACAGUCGGAUUGCGAUUCGCUGAAGAUCAGACCAUGGAAGCAAUCGAGAGCGCCGCGCGCUCGGGCUGCCAUACGCUUGAGGAGCGCCGGGAAGAAUCAGAAAACCACGAAUUCGAAGGACCAAGGUUUCGAUGCCUUAAAAAACGACGACGUACAACGUGGAUUUGGUGGCCCUUCUUCUCCGAUUAGGAGGAAAAUCAGAAGACAACGGAGACACGGAGCGAUGGUUGUGAUAUUUCAAAACUGCCACUCUUUCGAAUGAGCCCGGCCCAUUAAGUAUCAUCAACUAGUGUUUUGGACGGGUUUAUUAAGAGGAUUGGAUUAAAUUAGGGGAUUUUAACAAAAAAUCUUUCUAUACUGUUCAUUUUAACGAAAAAUCAUAUUUUUACAUUAAAAAAUCAAUUCUAUUACUAUUCAUUUUACCUUUUAUCUUGUCUUUAUCGUUAAAACUCAAAGUUUUCAAGCAAUUUUCAUUAGUUUUUCUUUAAAUUAGUCCGGUUCAAUUUAAUACAAGAGCGCAUCAUAUAUUCGGCUCUGUAUUAAUAAUCUUAUCCGUUGCUAUAUACAGCGUAUCAAACGAGGCCAUAAGAUGCUUCAAGUCUUCAACCAACGGUUUGAAAAUUUUAAAUUGUUAUUACAAAGCGAAGAGAGUUUUCUACAAUUUCAAGUCUAGGGACGCCCUUCUUAGAACCUAUCUCAUUUCUUCAAGGCGACUCCCAUCACAUAAUCUUAAGAGCCAGAACACAAGGGCACCAAGAUACACUCUAUGAGCUCUUAGGUGUAUUUAUGUUGAUCAUCAUUCGAGCCACCAAUUUUUAGCUACUUGGAUGUACAAGUUGUCAUUAUUCAGGAACAAUCUCUUAUAAAGUGGCCGAGAUGCAAAGUUCGAAACCGUGCAAAUAUGGAUUACUCUAUCCUUGUGCGAAUAUUCUAUCGCUUUAAAAUUUUCUAGGUUUGAUAUCUGUUUCUUGAGUUUGUAGCUCAUGGAAUGCAGCUUGCUGCAAUCCAACCCAUUGGAAAAAGCUAGACAUGACUGUGCUCAAGGUUAUUUUCGUUCUUUACUUGCUUGCACAUGCCAACAAGCCUUUGAGUAGUCCUUACGAAAAAACGCCAGCAUAGAUGGGAGGAAGAAGAAAAGGCAAUGCGCAAGCAAGUGAAUAAUGAGCAUACAUGGCUGAUAAGUCUAGGGCCGGCUAGCAACAGUUGGCGGGGCUGCCUAAGGCCCCCAAAUUUUUUAUAUAUAUAAACUAAUAUUACAAACUUUGUCUGAUCAAAUAAAAAGUAUACAGACUUUGAGCCAUUGAGUAUUUGCUUAUAGAAUUUUGUUAACCAUAUCGGUUACCAUUGUCUCUGCAAAAAGAAGUUUUUCAAAAUAAGUUGAUCAAAUUUUAUCUUCGAUCAACUAUGUCGCAAGAAAUAUUGCAUGAGUUUGCUAUAUUUUAUCAAUUGAAAAAUGAAUUGGUUGAUUAGAUUAUGUAAACUUAAUUUGUACAUUUGUAUCUAAAAUGCUAGACGUAUAAUAUUUCCAUUAUGUUUGUAUAUCUUUCUUCUUUUGAUAUUAAUUUUUAAUGAUUUUUUACGUAGAAAGACUUUUUCAUGUAUUUAGAAUUUUUUUUUUGUACACAUCAAUGUACAAAGAUCGGGAUUAUGAGGCCAUUAUUUUUGGGAUCAGAUUUUUGGAUACGAGCAUAUAAACCUCGAACAAUCUGGGAAUGGGAUUGCAAGACCAAUAGUUGGAUGAAGACUUUUGUUCACUAUUUUUCACAAUUGGAUCGUUGGAAACUUGAUUUUUUCUCAGUUUCCCCGUAUGUUCUAGAUAAUCUUCUUAAUUAAAUGAAGUAGGUGUGAUGGUAGCGCUACUUCAUGCUCAUUUAUGUUUUUUAGUGCCAUGAACUCUGUAGUUAAUUUUUUUUUUUCUGUUGAGAAAUGGUAAUGAAACUCUCUUAAAAGUGAGACUUUUUAAUAGAGAGUCUCUAUGGACUCUUUGACACCUCAUAUUUUUAGCACAAUUCCGUGUCAACAUUAUAAAAAUUGUGCAAAAAACGUGAGGUGUCAAAAAGUCUAUGAAGAGUCUCACUUUUGAGAGAGUAUCCUUAGCAUUGUUUUUUACAAUGACUCUAUAGUUGUUUAUGUAUUUUCUGUCCAUUAUAAUUGUCUUUUUGGGGCACAUUAUUUUGUUGUUUUAUUAUUCGAGGUGAUAAAAAAAAGAACGGAAUACAACUAUACUUUGUGGUCUCAUGACUCACCAAAUGCCACAUCCCGGCCGAGACCCCCACCACAUCCCGACUUGAUUCCACCGUAGCACGAUAUUGUUCGUUUUGGGCCCCGACCACACCCUCACGGUUUUGUUUCUGGGAACUCACACGAGAACUUCCCAGUGGAUCACCUAUCAUGGGAUUGCUCUCGCGCGAACUCGCUUAACUUCGGAGUUCUGAUGAAAUCCAAAGCCAGUAAGCUUCCAAAAUGCCUAGUGCUAGGUAAGGAUGGGAAUAUACAUUUAAGGAUCACUCCUCUGGGCGAUGUGGGAUGUCACAAUCCACCCCACUUAAGGGGCCCGACGACCUCAUCGACACACCACGCCCAGGGUUAGGCUCUGAUACCAAAUUGUCACAUCUCGGCCCAGGCCCCACCACAUCCCCGGCUUUACUCCACCGUAGCAUGAUAUUGUCUGCUUUGGGCCCCGACCACGCCCUCACGGUUUUGUUUUUGGGAACUCACACAAGAAUUUCCCAGUAGGUCACUCAUCAUGGGAUUGCUCUCGUGCGAACUCGCUUAAAUUUGGAGUUUCGAUGAACCCAAAACCAAUAAACUCCAAAAGGCCUCGUGCUAGGUAGGGAUGUAAAUAUACAUUUAAGGAUCACUCCCCUGAGCAAUGUGGGAUGUCACACCAGAGGUUCGAAAGGUGCCAUUGAAGGUUUUUGGGGGAUCUUUUGAAUGUAUGAUGCAAGACACUUUUGUGUCUAAAUAAGUAUUCGAUAAAAUACUUAUUCCCGCAUAUCCCAACGACGCUCGAGAGGAUGCGUUUAAAACUUACAUUAGGACCUCCCGAUUAUCCCUGGAUGCACCAAUGGUUGGUGGUUUUCAAGAGACGAAAAUGUGAUGCCCAACAACCAACUGUUUUUUUUUUUCUUUUCAAAGAGAAAAAAAAAUACCAACUAUUUCUGAAUGGAAAAAAAAAAUUACUUGUCUACUUCCCUUGAAAAUAGUCAUUGUUAUUUACCAGUUAAUCAUAGUUUAACAUAUCUCCGCCGCUUAAUAUUGCAUAGUGAUAUUUGUUUUUACUAGUAAAUGAAAUAUCUUAAUUUUCGCUCUCAUAUAUAACAAGUUUGAUACAAAUUAUCUCGAAGAAAAAAAAGAAUAUGUGUAUGUAUCAGCAAUAAAGAAUGAGUUCUUUUACACCAAUAAAUAAGGUGGGUUGAUCUAGAUUUUUCGCGGUUCCCUGAAUUAUUUACAAGUGGUAUUCAAGCUGUUAUUUUUGCAACCUUAGUUGCGGCUUAUAUAGACAAAUCCAUAGAAGGUCAUCAUUGACUAGGCAAGCUUCUUUUUCUUUUGUCGAAAAAAAGAAAGAAAUUUCAUUUAAUGAAAAAAACCCCAAUACAAUUACAUUAAACUAGUCCAAUAAGAUGGGGACAACCAAAGCCCAUUCAACAAAAGCUGACCACUUCUGUCGCCAUCACUUUGCCAGCGACCACAAGGGUAGCCACCUAAAAAGAAUCAGCCAUGCGUUGCAUUUGAUGAAGGUAUCCUAGUGCAAAACAAUUCAACAUGCAAUCAAAACCACCACACCGGAGAAGAGCCAACAGAUUCGGACCACAAACACAAGCCUCGGCAAGUAGAACAAAAAACCAAAAUAAAUGGGAAGGGGAUGGGGCUAAGGGGGCAUCUAAAUAUCAUCGCUUUGGGCAAAGCUGCAACAUGCUUGCGCCUUGAUUUCAUGCAUGGAUAUUAAAUCCCUAGUGUAUUGCCUUUCUUUUUUACUCUAGGAGUGCGUAUGGAAUCCUACUAAUACUCUAUGUAUGGAUACCAUUGAGUGUGUCUAGAUGCCUACACUCUGUUAGGUUCCAUUGAGUGCGUCUGGAUCCCUACAUUUUGUUCGGUUCUAUUGAGUUCGUCUGGAACAUUCAUCCUAUGGAUUGCAUGUGGAGUUAGUCUGAAUCCUACUUCAUGUCUUGUGUGUCAGUUCUAUCCUAUUUCAUUAGUGCAUUUAGAAUGCGUAACGUUGUGAAUCGUAUUAGCUCUUGUGUAUUCUUUGUAUUUGAUUCCAUGGGUGCGUUCGGAAUGUGGAACGUUUUGCGUUUGCUGGCCUUAUUAUUUUAAUAUAUAUUGAAAGGGAAGUCGAUUGAAUAUCAGUGAGGAUUCAAUGGAUUUUGUGAGUGAAGAUAUUUUAUACAUGCAAAGUAUUGUGAAAUGUUUUAUAAAUGAGAUUGAUUGACUUUUCAAUCACAUAUGUAUUACUGUCACUCACACGAGCUUUAUAGCUUGUCUGAGUUUUUGCUUUGCCCGAUGCACCAUUCUCACAGUGUAGAGGGUAAUUUUGCAAGUUGACAGGUGUUCAACGUUCUGAAGUUAUGUGUCGAUCCUAUUAGGGGUGGGUUCAAAAAACCGAAACCGAAAAAAACCGAAAACCAAACCGAACCGAAACCGAAAAAACUGAACUGAAUGAAAAAACCAAACCGAAUUGAAAAUACCGAACUGAACUGAAUUCUUUUGGUUCGGUUCGGUUUUAGUGAUCUAGAAACCGAACCAAACCGAACCGAACCAAAUUAAUUAAAUUAAUUUUUUUAUUUAAUUAUUUGUUUUGGAUAUUAUUUUCUAAACCCAAUUUGUAAAUUAAAAUGUGUUAAACCCAAUGUGUUGCCAAACUUUAAGCUCAAAAUAUUAAAAAUUGCCUAUAAAAACUCUAAACCCUAACCUAUUAUUUCUCUCCCAUAUAAGGUUCCAGAACCAAACCUCAUCCUGAAGUACCUAUAUCCAUCUCCAUAACACUGUCUACUUAUGCCACAUCUUUCUUUUCCAAAUCUACUAUCAUAUAACAUGUAACAGAAUCCAUAAACAUUUAUUUCGGGUAAAUUACUUGGGUAAUUUGUUAUGGAAAAAAAAUCCAACACACACUAAAUAAAUCCACCCACGCAUUACUUUUACUAAUCAAGUUGUCAACAUGUAGUUACAAGCAACACAACCCUGAUCUUUGAACAACAUCAUACAAUUUAACUUUUUAAGUCAUUUGUACGAUUUUUGUGUUGUGAGGUUGUUAGUUUGGACUUUGGAAGACUUAAUUGAUGAUUUUAGUUCAACUUUAAAUGUUUAUUUUCAUUAUCUUUGAUUCUAGUUAGAAUGCUUAUGUUAUGAUUGUGUUGGAUAUGUUAAAAUUUAAAAUUUCAAUGUUUUUCAUUUUUUGAAAAAAAAAAUAACAAAAACCGAAAACGAACCGAAACCAAACCGGAAAAAACCGAACCGAAAAAAAAACCGAACAAAAAAAAACUGAAAAAAAAAUGAACCGAACCAAACCGAACUGAAAUUUCGGUUUGGUUUCGAUUUUGGUAAAAAACCGAACCGAUUUAAACCGAACCCACUCCUAGAUCGUAUGUAUAUCUCCUAAUCAGGGCAUGACAUUGUAUGAGAGAGCAUGUUUACUUUUAUGAGGCCAAGCCUAGUGUUGUACUUUUGGAAAGACAACUCAAACAUCCAACUCCAACUCAUAAAAUGAAAAGAUGAUUUCUGUCCUUUCAUUUGUCCUCAUUUUUUACUUUAUGCCCCACUUUGGACCACAGCUAGCCGCAGACCAACUCCAUCACAUUUUCUGGGUCAAAAGUAGCCUUUUACUCUAGUCGUCAUCUAGCCUAUAGAUAGAGCCUCUAUCAUAGAGGCCCCACAAGUUACAUAAUGCAUGCUUUUUAUAUACUAAAAGAGAUCCGGAUAUUGACCCAAAAAAAAAAAAACGGAUAUGGAUCUCUUCUAUUAUGAUUACCGGAUCAAGUGAUCCGGAUAUUUGAAAUUUCAUCUAACGACUUACUUGUUUUGAUUUCUUAAAAACUAUGAUAAUUUUUUGCUAUUAAAUGAAAUUUAAAAAACUCAGGUUACUUAAUCUGAUGGCCUCGGAGAUGAUCUCUUUCCUUUAUAUACAUCCAUAUAUAUUCAUGAUUACAUAAAUAAAAAGUUGGUAACUAUUAUUUUUUUUCAUUAAACAAGUGAUUAAUAUUAAGGAAACUAAUGAAAAUGGCUUCAAAUCUUUACAUUUUAAUGAAAAACCAUACACUAACUUUAUUUAAUGAUAAGGACAAAAAAUUAAAAAAACAUAAAAAAAAUCCAAAUCGCGUUGAGCGCGCGUCCCUCACCCCCCAACCAAAAUCCCCCAAAACUCACAUCAGACAACUUCACGUCCCCCAAACCACAAACCCCCCCCCCCCCCCCCCCCCCCCCCCCCCCCCCCCCCCAAAAAAAAAACCUCAUCUCUCUCAUUCUAUUUCAACAGCUUAACUCUCUCUCUCUAGAAAAAAAAAUCAAAAUCCCCCAAAACUCCCAUCAGACUACUUCACGUCCCCCAAACCUCAUCUCUCUCAUUCUAUUUCAACAGCUCAACUCUCUCUCUCUCUCUCUCUCUCUCUCUCUCUCUAGAAAAAAAAAAUCUGAGAAACAAAGAUGCUGAGUCGCUGUGAGAUCUGUUGUGAGAUUGUGAUUGCAAUUUUGCUCUUUCCGCUGGGCGUUUGUGUCCGGCAUGGCUGCUGCACCAUAAGUUCCCUUUCUUUCUCCUCCGUCUUCUUCAUCUUCUGGUGGCAGAUUUGAUAUUAUUAAUGGUGAAAAUUGAAAUUUUGGAUUGGUGGUGGGCCCAACUACUCCUAAACAACUAUCAGCAAAUUGCCUUUGUUUUUUCUUAUAUGGCAGGCAAAUUUUUGUUUGUUUUUCAUUUCGAUGCUUCAAUUCUUAGCUAUGAUUUUUAUGCAUUGGACAUGGACAUGGGAAGAGGAGAAAUUUGUGUACACAGUACGAAUACAUCAUCAUGCUUAUGUUUGAGACAAAAGGAUAAAUAUAUGUGUAUAUUGUUAUAAACAGUGUCGUUAAAAUUCAUAAUAGAAAGUUUCAUAAACAGUGUCUUAAGUUUCAUAAAUAAUGGAGAAAGUUUCAUAAACAGUUUGUGUGAGGAUUUGCAUGGGUCCGUCCGUCAGAAUUUUUUUUAUAAUUUUUUUUAACAUUAUAAUUAUGUCCUUUUGAUUAAAAUUUAAGUUCUUUUGUCCUUUUUAUUAAAAUUUAAGGAUUUUUUAUUAAAAUUUAAGUCUUUUUAUUUAAAUAAAGUUAUAACAUGGUUUUUUAUUAAAAUAAACUUAGUUCAUGCCCUUUUUAUGGAAGUUCCCUUAAUAUUAUUAUAUACUCCUUACUCUUAGUCCACAUCAAUUAAUUUGUCAAAAUGUUAUGUCUGUUAUUUAAUAAUACUAAAUAGUGGUAUUCUUCGUUAUUUAUAAAAAAUAUAUUUUAUGUUUGAAUUUUGUGUAUUAUGAGUUUGAAACUAAUUUAUUCAUUUCACCCCAUAGUGUAAUAUAUCUUUAUUUCUAAAAAAAAACAAUAAUUUUAUUUUUUAUUUAAUUAAGAUAAUAUAGUAAUAUUCUUCUUCAUUUGUUGGUGCUAGCGAGUUGGAUACUAAAUUAUUAUAGCUGAUUGAUUGAGCAACUUGCUCAAAUUUUCUCACCAUAGUGUAGUUUUUUUUUUUUAAACCAAUAAUUUAUAAUGCUUCACUCCACAAAAUUGUGAAGAAUUCUUCUUCAAACACUUAGUGAACGAUUGAUAAAGUUAUGUGGUUAUUAUCAAAAUCAUCUAUAUUAUAAAUUAUUUUGUAAAAGAUUAUCUUUGAAAAAAAAAAAGCCAAACUAAGUUCCACUAUUCAAUGAUCGGACUAUUGAAUAUUUUUAUCUAGUCCGACCAUCUAUCUUUAUACAAUUAGUUAAUAAUCUUUUCGAAAAUAAAAAUGUUAUAUAAAAGGAAAGUUGUAACCAAAAGAAAAUAAUAAGAAAUUGUUAACGAUUAAGAAAUUGCCACAUUCUCCAAAUUCAACAGCUAAGAGCACUUUUAUUGGGCAUGUCAAAUUUUAAAUACGACAUUUAAAUUUUACAACUUAUCUAAUACUUUAACAUUUUGAAAAAAAAUUCUUCAUCCAUAAAUUAAAUUAUUAUGUUAUUAAAUCAAAUUAUAAUAAUAAUUUUUUUAGUAUAACGAUAUAUUUUACACUACAGAAAUUGAGAGUUCGAUUAAGCCACACAAUGACAAUCUAAUUUGGUAUUGAAUUCGCUACCCACGAGAUUUGAUCCUAAGACUUCUCACUUAAAAGUGAAGAGGAAUACCACGAUACCGUAGUACUGAGUGACAUAAUAAUAUAUUUUUUUAAACAGAAACAACAAAGCCACUCAGUACUUAUGUGGUUUAGCCGAACUCCCCUCCUCUUCGUGUAAAAAUAUCGAUGUAAUUAAUUAAAAAAAACAAUAAAACUAGUAAAUAUAUUUAAUAAUGAAUUAAAAAUAAGUAAAAUUACGGUCAAAUUUAAAAAUAUUGUUGCUGGCUUUUUGGAUUUGGACAUUUUGACGUUUGGAGAUGCUCUGAAACACAACCGUCAGAAGUGUCAAGUUGAAUUUGGGAACUCAGCUGAGGAGUCGAUUCACUCUAGGCUUUGGGUAAAACCUCGAUUUCAGAGUCCCUUUCAAUCGUUCAUACAUUCAUCGUAUGAUCUUUCUUUCUUCCCCAAGGCUCAAGGCCCCUUCCCAUUGAGUUCUUGAGUCGUACACAAAUUAUCAUCCUUUAAACGCCAUUAACACUCAAAGAGUGGAGCUUCUGCCAAUGGGUCUCUGAGUUUUUAGCUGGGUCUUGGGUUGGGCCAGUUUCUCUCGCUUUUGGUCACUUCUACAGGCUUUUCAUCUUCUGAGCUUGCCAAACAAGGUUCGAUUUUUCUUAUUUUUCUACUGUCUAUGUAUGUCUAUUUCAAUGCGAGUAAGUAGUUGGGUAUGUAAUAACUGCAAAGAACAAUAUAAUCCGUGAUUGAUUGCUGACGAGUAAAGUCAAGGUCCAUAUUAUGAAAUUAUAUUGUUUCUGUAUUUUUCCCGACCUUUGCAAAGCGGAGAGACUUGUUGGCUUGAAGACGUCCUUUUUUUUAUAUUGUUUCUGCAUUUUUUGGAACAUUGACUGUCAUCUGUUAUUUGAUAUAUGUUGUUGGAUUGGUGUGGUGACUAUGCUUACAAUACAUUCACCAAUUAUCUCCCGUUUUGUUGGCCACAAUCUCCGAGGCUAAGUCGAUGAUCCUCUUUUCAAAUUCUACUGAAACUCUUCGUAUUGUGAUUUGUAUAAGGUUACCGCGUCAUGUAGUCUUCUUUUCACUAAAUUGUUUCUUGUAUUCCUUGUUCAUUCAAAGUGUAAGGUUUUUUUUAAAAGGAUUAUCAUUUAAUCAUUCGUUUAAUGUUUUUUAUUGCAGGAAUUAAUGUUCCGACCUUUUUCUUUAUGUAGAUAUGAUUUCUUUUCUCUUUAUGUGAUACAAGUUGGUUUCAGACAUCUAUAUCUAGCUAAGUUUUAGUGUUUUUGGACUUCGUUAUAUAGAUUAGUAGCAUGUCGUUAGACGGCAGAUUCGGAGGAUCACUGCAGUCAUGAUUCAUGUAAAGGUGCUUGAGUUGGGAUUUUUUAUUUGAAUUUUUGUACGCGUUCAAUAUCUUAAUAUAUCUCAUUCAUCUCAAAUAUUCCGUUCUCUUUCUUUGACAUAUUAUCAAGCGCUCGCCUCUUUCUCUUAUUUUUUACUCACAAGUUACAAGUCUAUUUAGUUCCUUGACACUACAAAAAAAGGGUCUAAGAACAUGUCACGCUCCGGACCCGGAGUCGAUAAUAAAAACUUGAACCCGAAUCCGAAACGUGAGUUAAAUACUAAAUAAUUAAAAGGAAAUUGACAUGGGUUGGAAAAUAAACUCCUCUUAUUAAAAUAAUUCAUGAUUCUUGAACAAAUCAAUAAUUCUUUACAACCUACAGUAAAUAAAUGAAUAACUUUCUCUACUCCAAUCUAAUAUGAUCUCAUCAUGCCUACCCUCUUGAAUGUCUAGUUCGUAAACCUGCAUAACAGUGUAGUGGUGAGCUUCAACGACUUAGUAGGGACAUAACCUUACUAUAGUAAAUUGACAAUAUUAAAUUAAGUGUCAUGAAAUCAUAUAGCCAAAUAUCAAAACAACAAUUAUAACAAUGCAUGAAUGCAAUGCAACCUCUUCAUUUACUCCUGUUAAUUUAUAUAAUAAAACACGUGAACCUGCACAUCCCAUACCAUGCAUUUUACCCCUGCAAAGGUGGUUCGAAUGUUCUAUUAUAGAAACUAACCCCCAUAUUAUAUCCCAAGUUCAUAAACCCCUUUUGCUAGUCAUCUUAUCUAAUUCAUUGAUCUCCAGCCCAAAUCACCCACAUCGACAAUUCCCGUCGAUAUCCUAUUCUACUGUGCACAUCAGACUCGCCUGGAACUAGUUUCACAAUGAAUAGAUUCAACUACACAAAAGAUCCUUUCCAACUACCCUCAUUCCCAUACUUUCAAUAUGAAUACUGAAAUUCCCACCACAUCAACAUGAAUGAUGCACAAAUAAUAUCAAUUUAUCUUCCACAUGUAUCAUAGUAUAUUCUCAACGAAUAACAUUUCAUAACAAUAAUUCCAUAACCAAUAACAAGUAAACACUUAACUGAAGCAAUUAGCCAAUUACUAUUCAACCACAUUAAUCAACCAAAAAGAUCAAAAAUAUUAUCACUUCACGAAAUUUAAUAAAAUUAAUUUCCGUAAAGGUUUGCCUUAUUUCCCCUACUUGGAUUCCAAAGCUAAAACCAAGAUCCACGUCAUUACCGAAAUAGCUAGCUGUCCACGUACUUAAGCAAAUUCCUUGAUCACUCUUAAAUCAUCAAAGUAUUUUUUUUCUACUCUCCUUUAUUUUUCUAAUCUCUCUCUAUAUUUAUACUUAUGUAAAUAUAUACAUUUUCCCUCUCUAUCUAUUCUUCCCUACGUUGCCUGCACUGCAUGGUUCCUCAAGCUUUGCAUGGCAUUGUUAAGCCACCUCCUGUAACCUAUGUGGCUGCUAAAGAAAAAGAUAAUAAUCUAAAAUGGGACACAUUAUGUGAUAAUGGAUCACUACAUUUUUAUUUAAUACCUAAUCACCUUCCACCAUGUGUACUAGUAAUAUGGUCACUGUCAUUUUGACUGGUCACCACGUGGCACACACCUAGCAAUUCAAUGGUUGCCACCUAACAUCGACUCAAUGAUUAACCUUUCAGUUAUUUGACCUCCAAAAAAUUAUACAAGAUGCUACGAGCUCAUAAUAAUUCUUACUAUCUUCAUACAAGGACCUAUUCGAUAAAUAAGUUUACAAAUACUUCUCUUCUUUAGUAAUAAAUUCUUGGGAUUUCACAGAACACAAUUGAUUGGUGCCCUUUUCAAUUUCAUUGAGCGUGCACGCAUAUGUGUGUGUGUGUGUGUGUGCGCUUUUAAGUUUCAUUGAGCACAAAAUUAUUUCGAAUGUGCAUUUUGAACAAAAAGACACAUUAAAUUGUGUCUACAAAAAGGUGUAUUGUGCCUAUUGAAAUUUGAAUUCGAAAGUUUGUUUUACUACGAUUAUCUUUGGGUCGAUAGACGUCUAUCUUCGAUAGAUUAUAUAUUGAAUAAGGAUGGUUUACCGUGUCCACAUUAAGUCUUGUUUUGGUUUGAGUGAUUUAGGAUGACACAAUGGUGUGGUUUGUGUCGGGUCUUUGCUCCUUAUAUCACUUUGAAGUAGUUUAUUUGUGUUAUAUUUGUUGGUUGUUCCUUGGUGUGAAAUUCCUUGUAAGUUUUUGGCUUUGCCUCGGUUAUAAAUCUAGUUUACAAAAAAAAAAAAAAGUUUGUGUUAUUAUUUAUGGAUUUUUUUAUUAAGGGGAUGUAGUCAAACUAAGAUUUUAAAAGGAUUUUAAAAGUGAUAGAUUUAAUAGAAUUUAAGAGGAUUAAAGACUCCUACAAAAUUCAUAUGGAUUUUUAAAGAAUUUGAAUGGAUGAUGGUGGAUUGUUGUGGAAGGAUUUGAAAUCCGAGGGGGUGAGGUUGGAUUCUUUUUAGUCUUGGUUAUAUAUACUUUUGGCUCUCAAAUCCCACAAAAUCCACAACUUAUUGAAAUCCUCCAAAAUCUUAAUUUUUUUAAUAUACUUAGAUUUAGAUGAAUUUUUAAAAUCCUUUAAAAUCUUUUAAUUGACUACAUCUAGAUUUCAAAGGAUUCUAAAAUCCUUUAAUUGACUAUAUCUAAAUUUAAAUGGAUUCUAAAAUCCUUUAAAAUCUUUUAAUUGACUACACUCUAAUUUCAAAUCACUACCCCGUAAUUUUCGAAAGCACAAAAAACAGUUUGUGCCCUUUAAUUUAGUAUAUUUAAAUCUUUUGGUUUUAUUAGCACAAUAGUUUGUGUAUUCCUUCCAAGUCUGGACACAAUUAUAUUUUAAUAUUAAUUUUAUUGAUCAACACCCUACAUCCCACUCAGUUUUAGAAGCAGCCUCACCCAUACUCCGCCUCCCUCAUAUUCUUUCUCACCUCUCUCUCUCUACCUUCUCCAGACAAAUCGUGGAGGCUCUUGAGCUCCAUCAUUGCCAGAAUCUCUUAGCAGAAACCUUCUGCACGCGGUGAAUGAAGGUUUGGGAAGAUCGGAUCUGGUAGGGAGGGAUCAGGGGAGGGGGUGGGUCGGGUUUGGGAAGAUCGGUGGAUGUAGAGCCUGAAUCGGGAAUCGCGUUGGGAUCCGAGUCUGAUAGGGAGGGAUCAUGGGAGUGAGGUGCGUCGGGUUAGGAGAUGUUUGUGAGAGAAGAGCAGGUGCGAGUCAGAGAGGGAGUGAGGAGUCGUGGUCCUCGUCAAUAUUUCGUAGCCGUCGUGGAAGCCUGCGAAUUCGGAGUCAGCCGCACCUCCGGUCGUAGGAAGUGGAACCUUCUUCAGCUAAUUAAUUAAGUGAGCAACAUGCAAUUAGCAAAGGAAGCCAGAAUCGAAGUAGCCAGAGAGAUAAGGUAAUACAAUGGUUUGUGAAAUCUCUAUGAUUUUAGGAGUAAUCAACGAUAUCUUACUACUUCAAUAUUUUAUAAACUAUUUUUCAUAUAUUAUACAGCAAGCAUUGUAAAAUGUGGUUAUUAAAUACACAAACAGUGAUGAAAUCUGUGGAUGUGGACGGCCGUGGAUUUAGUUCAGGAUCAUUGCUUUGUAUAUAUUGUAAGGACUUAGUCAGGAGGAGUAAGGACCACGUUGUUAUUAGACAGGCCGGUUCGAAUUCUAGGCUUAAUUCUCGUUUGUUUCCAUUCCACUUAUGUGUGUAAUAAAAUUUUGCUUAAUCCGAUGUUCUAUUUGUGUCUCUGGAACAGUCGCAUAUCUUUUUGCUGAAUUGUGAUGUUUGCUGCAAUUUUCUACUCAAGGGGGUGUAUUCAAUUGGGAUUUUAAGGGAUUUUAAUUCUUUUAAUGAAUCGAGGGGUAUUCAAUCAGGAUUAUAAGUGAUUCUCUGAAAUUCUAGGUGUAUUCAAUUAGAAUUUUAAGAUAGUUUAUUAAAAUCCGUAGAAAUCCAGGUGUAUUCAAUUAAGAUUUUAAAGAAGUUUAUAACAUUCCAGGUGUAUUCAAUUAAAAAUUGAUUUUAAAGAAUUUGAGAAAGUUGAGGAAUUAGAGGGAAUUGAAGAGAUUUCGUAGUGUAUUUUAAGCAUCCACAAAUUUCACCUCUUCACAUGAGAUUUCGAGGGAAUUGAAUCAAAAUUUUAUAUGGAAUCUCUACAAAUCAAUUAAACUCCAUAAAAAUCCAUGGAUUUAUAAAUCCAUUAAAAUCUCUCACAUUCUCAAUUGAAUACACCCCCCUAAGACAUGCUUGGUGACUGGAAGUUUUUUGCUUGGAAUUAUAGAUAUGAUUUUGAAAAGUUAAUUCCUUUUAUUGCUUCUUGGUGUUCGUCAUUGCAGAUGCUCAUUAAGGAUAUAAGGUGAUGGGUACAAUGUUAGUAAUAAAGGUUAGUUUGUUGACAGAGCCUGAACUAUUGAAUAAUGUUGCAACUCUCCCCCAUUUUCCUGAUGCUCUUUCCUCAUGUUUUUUUGUCAUGCCAUACUUUGUUUUUAGGUUCAUCUGUAAGUUUCUGCUGAAUCUGCGAACCAGUUUUGGCAGUUGGUUGUUGAUCCUGCCACCAAAGAACUAUUGCAUUAUACUGAGAAGCCAGAGACUUUUGUAUGUAAUAGAUGCAAUUACUGUCCCAAAAUUGUUCAUUUAGUUGGUGCUUGAUGAUCUCAAUUCUUUGUUCCCGGCCCCAUUAUGUAAGGGUUAUCUAUUUUCUAAAUGCAGGUGAGUGAUUUGAUCAAUUGUGGUCUAUAUGUAUGUACUCCCACAUAUUUUACUGCCAUUCAAGGAGUCUCGAGUCAUCAAGAAGGCAAAGGUUGGUCUUUUUCUUUACUGGCAUUAUAUUUGUGGAUUGGUUUGCACUUGGGAUCAAAUUCUGGCUCUAAAAUAUUAUCACUUGAUUUGUAAUUCAUUUUCAUAAGGAUUCGACUUGAUUUGUAAUUACUGAGAACAAAUUUGGCCUCAACACGGGCUAUUUACUUUUAUCCCUAUUAAGUAAAUAUUCAUGAAUCUUUCACAGUGGAUGAAUCAUUUAUUUUAUUGUUUAGGUGAGAUACUAAAAGGAUUUUGUUGCUUACAUGGUGCUUAUAUCUGUAUGAAUCAAUUGUAGAACUAAAUUUUAGAAGCAUGUUUUAGCUCUACCCUUAGUUUAAUUGGUAUCUUGAAUGUGCAUGUAAACCAGCCGAAUAAUUUCUUACUGAUGGUAUUACUAUUUGAUUUCAUUUUGUAAUAUUUGAUAUUUGUUUUUUUAUUUUAUUUUUAAUAUUUAAUCUUUUGGGCACAAUAACAAAGUUGUACAAACAUGGCUUGGAAAAGUCAUCUGACACAGGUGUCAGAAUAGAGGCACAAAAACUCCUGAUUGGUGCUUACCUGUGUCAGCACAAACCACCUUAUUGUGCCCAAUGACCAAAGGGCACGCCCAUAGAGGGCACACAUGAUGUUUUAGUUGCUGCACUGUUGCUUUUGCCGGGCACAUAUGAUGGUGUCCUUGGGCCUCAUAGGGCACAUAUAACUUUUAGUGUGCAAUGGCAGUUUUUCUUCUAGUGUGAGAGAGACACAAACAGAUGGAUGGUAUUGAAGCUAAUAUCCCCCCUCAUCGAGAAAAGAGACACAAACAAAUGGAUGGUAUUGAAGCUGAUAUCCCCCCUCAUCGAGAAAAGAGACACAAACAGAUGGGUGGUAUUGAAGCUGAUAUCCCCCCUUGUCGAGAAAAGAGACACAAACAGAUGGAUGGUAUUGAAGCUAAUAUCCCCCCUCGUCGAGAAAAGUAUGAUGUGUUUAUCAAUUUCAGAGGUGCGGACACCCGCCUUGGUAUUACCAGCCAUCUUCAUGCUGCCUUACUUCAGAAAAAAAUUGAAACCUACAUCGAUUACAGACUUCAGAAAGGAGAAGAAAUCGGACCUGCCCUUCUAGAGGCAAUCGAGAAGUCCACGCAUUCGGUGAUCAUUUUCUCACAAAACUACGCUUCUUCCACAUGGUGUUUGGAUGAGCUUGUGCAUAUACUCGAAUGCAAGGAAAGAUAUGGCCAGAAGGUUAUACCCGUAUUCUACGACAUCAAUCCAUCUGAUGUACGAAAACAACACGGGAGUUAUGCGGGUGCAUUUGCUCAACUUGAAGAACGUUUCAAGGACAGUAUUGAUAAGGUGCACAAGUGGAGGGCUGCUUUGAAGACUGCAGCUGAUCUGUCUGGGUUUGAUUAUUCAAACAAAUAUGGGUAAGUAACUCAUUCUUUAAUUUGUAUAAAAUUAUAAAUUUUCUUAAACUUGUGACAAUUUGAUUUGUGCUAAGAUUUGGUGAAGCAUUACUAUAUAUUAUAAAUUUUCUUUAAACUUGUGACAAUUUGAGUUAUAAAUUUUCUUUACACAUAUUUACAACAACUCUAUCCGCACACAUUGUACAAUCAUAUUUACAAUUCUACUUACAUAUAUACUAAUUAGCUUUUUUGAACUUCCUUGAUCAACACAUGGAUUUUUUUUUUUGCUCUCAUAUGUAUGCUUCUAUGUUGCAAAUUGAAAAAAUAGAAGUUGUUAAUAUAAAUCAAUGACAUUUUAGUGAAGAUGACGGAACACAAGUGUAAUUAUUGAGGAGAGACUCUCAGUUGCUUCCAAGCUUUUCAUGUUUUAUGUCAACAGACACUAAAAAUUGGGUAACUUGGCAUAUCGACAGAAGGUUCAACAUCCAAAUCAGGUUUAAGCAAUUCAUCAGGCUAUAUGUCCUCCAAGAAAUGUUUGGGCCCACAAUUUGAUCUGUGGUACUCUUAUUGUAUGGUUUUGGGGGAACAAAUCUUAACAAAUAUAAGAAUCACCCUAUUUAGUUCUCUUCUUCAUAAGGGAUAAUCUCAUACAAAAGAACUCGAAACAAAUUCAAGGUAGAGCAAGCUAAAGAUUUAGAAGAUAAGGACCCCUUUUAUCAUCAUCUAAUACUAAGCAUUAGUCUAUACACCGUGAAAUUCAAUAAAAUAUGCAUCACCCAUAAAUAUACAAAACCCAUCAAACAAAAGGAGGGGUUUAGAAGAAUACUCGUUCUCUCAGGAAUCUGCUCCAGAAGAUUUCUUAAUCUUUCUCCAGAACCGCCGAAGAAGACAACCCACUCAUCCCUCUCUCUCUCUCUCUCUGCAAUCCCUACAACUCCCUCUCUCUUUCACUCUCUGUAACCCUUCCACUUACUGAAUCGUAGGUCUCAUACAAACAGGUCUUACUUGCCCCUGUUCAACAUCUCUCCCUCUACCUCUCCCUUGCCCUUCCCCUCCCCCUCUCCCUCCCCCUCCCCCUCCCACAAUUGCACGCCUCCCUCUCUCUGUCUCUCUGUAAUUAGUUGUACCCUAUUUAAACGUAUCUGAUUUCUCUUUAGGGUUAACGGUUUAAUUAGUGAGGCAAGUUUACUUUCAUCAAUAGAUAGUCGGUUGAAUGCUAUAAUAUGUAAGCACACUUAGUUGAGGAGAGAAUAACAAGAAUUUUUUUUCUUCACAAAUAUACGGUGUUAAACCUUUUAGUAUAUUUCUUUAUUUACGUGACAAAUUUUUUGACAUGCCUUUAAGACUAACUAUUUCAUACAUAUAUAUAUGCCAGGACGGAGGCAGAUCUAAUUAAGAAUGUUGUCGAUCAUAUUUGGACAAAUUUGAAAUGUGAAUCAUCAUGUGAUUUAGAGGGCCUGGUUGGAAUUGAAAGCCACAUCGAGCAAAUUGAAUUGCUACUGGGCAUUCAUUCACAGGACGCUUGCAUCACUGUAGGUAUUUGGGGCAUGGGUGGUAUUGGCAAGACCACCCUUGCUGAAACUAUAUUUCACAGACUCUCUUCUAAAUUCGAAGCUUCUUGUUUUCUUAAAAAUGUCGGGGAGAAAUCAGAACCACCAGAUGGACUAGAUUGCUUGCAAAAUAAACUUCUGAGUGAGAUAUUAGGGGAAGAAGGUCUAUCCAUAGGAUCAACUGGUGUUCAAAAUAGGCUUAGUCGCACAAAGGUCCUCAUUGUUCUUGAUGAUGUGAGUAGUCCAAUGCAAAUGCAACUUUUAGCUGGUGAUCGUCUUCGGUAUGGCACUGGAAGUAGAAUCAUUAUCACAAGUAGAGAUAGGGACACACUUAGACAAACUGUUAAAGAGGAUAAUAUCUAUGAGGUUAAGGUAUUAAAACCAGAUGACGCUUUUCAGCUCUUCUGUUUGCAUGCUUUCAAGGAUAACACUACUCGUAGAACAGAUUAUGAGGAGUUGGCGAAAAAGACCGUGGAUUAUGCCAGACGCGUUCCUUUAGCUCUUACAGUUCUGGGGUCCUUGUUCUUCAGUUGCAACAGCAAAGAAGACUGGGAAGAUGAAUUCAACAAAUUGAAACAAUCUCCCAGUGAAGAUAUCCAGAAAGUGUUGAGAAUAAGUUAUGAUAGAUUGGGAAAAUAUGAGAAGGAGAUAUUUCUGGAUAUAGCAUGUUUUCAUAAAGGGAAGAAAGUGAAUGAGGUAAAGCGAAUGUUAGAUGUUCGUGGAUUCUUUCCGACAUCCGGAAUUAGAAUUCUCAUUGAUAGGUCUCUCAUAUCAAUUUAUUCAGAUAAAUGGAAAGGGGAAAUCAUAGAGAUGCACGAUUCGCUACAAGAAAUGGGAAUGACAAUUGUUCGGGAACAAUGUAUUAAAGAUCCUGGUAAACGGAAUAGGUUGUUCACGAAUGAGGAUGUCCAUCGUGUACUGAAAAGUAACACGGUAAGAGUUAAAUGCAUUCAAUUUUUUCUUUUAUUUUUUAAGAAAAAAUAAAUAGCAAACUUUAGAUGAUAACACAACAAAGUAAAACUCAUUUAUAAUAAAGAAGUCAGAUUCUUAAAAAAUUAAUUUGAAUGAAUUUUUAUUGAAAAAAUGUUAUUCUUAUUAUUUAUUUAUACCAUCAUUUGUACCUUCUCUCUAAUAAAGAUGGGACCCAAAUGCGUUGAUGGGUCCUAUGCUCUAUUAGAAAGAUGGUAGAAGUGAUGGUACAACUAGGUGGUAAGAGCCACUUGGUACUACGAAACUUGUGCGUCAUCACCAUCGCAAAUACUCUACAUUAUUCUAGAACUUUGUUGAAUUCUUUUUCCAAAUAAGCAUUACAUCUUACCAUGUUAAACUUUGUUCUUAUUGUCAGGAAACUCCAAUUGUUGAAGCCAUUGAACUUAGUACGUCGUAUGAGAGUGAAAAGCAACCAUUGAACUUCAAACUGAUGUCAAACCUAUUAAUGCUUAUUGGGCAUACUUUUGGAUUAUUAGACUACAAAUCGGCCGCUUCUCUAGACCUUCCCGAUUCUCUUCGUUACCUUUACUGGUGGGGAUAUUCACUGGAAUCUCUGCCGUCAAAUUUUUCCCCGGAAAAUCUAGUUGAGCUUCAUAUGCCAUGGAGCCGAGUUAAGAAGCUCUGGC
rnacentral:lncRNA from 1 species